UACGUAGGGUGCAAGCGUUGUCCGGAAUUAUUGGGCGUAAAGGGCUCGUAGGCGGUCCAUCGCAUCGGGAGUGAAAAGCUGGGGCUCAACCCCAGUCCUGCUUCCGAUACGGGUGGACUAGAGGUAGGCAGGGGAGAACGGAAUUCCUGGUGUAGCGGUGAAAUGCGCAGAUAUCAGGAGGAACACCGGUGGCGAAGGCGGUUCUCUGGGCCUUACCUGACGCUGAGGUGCGAAAGCGUGGGGAGCAAACAGG
rnacentral:rRNA from 1 species